GUGGCCGGGGCGGGGCUUGGCCGCCGAGCCCUGUGCGGCAGCGCUUUGCAUGUUUGCAUAGCGUGAUCCAGGCCCCGACCUUCCUUUGGGAUCCCAGUAUGAGCCACAGAGAGAAUUCUCUGAAUUAGAUCGCCAAGUGUCGGAAGGGGGUUUCCUCAACGUUGUGAGUUUGGAGCUGGAGUGAAAUCGCCCCUUGGCAAGGAGAGAUAAAAUGGGAUGUGUUCUCGUGUGCUGUGUUCAAAACAGCAUCACUUCUUCACUGGUCUUUAUUCUCUCGCUGCCCUCCCCAGUUCCUACCAUGGAAAUUUGCUUGGCAACUUACUUCCAUUUCCCUUGGAUUUAUUUAGGUACCAGACCUGUGAAUUCAGUGUCUGGCCCUAACGGCGCAUCCCAGCGUGUGUGGUUCUGUCACCGUGGUUUGGGUGACAAGCGACGGCAGGGUGGGCAUCCACCUCCUCAGCCCCGUGUUUCCAGCAGGGAACUGUUCCAGGUGCCUCCGCUCUCCAGGAAAACCGGGUUUGUCUUGGCCCUGUUCUCCAGAGCCGGGCUCUGGGGGCCCAGGGCUGGGUGGGCAGGUUCAGGGAGAGACAACUGAAAUGGAGGGCAGAGCACAGCGUCCCGGCUCCUGGUGACUGCGGGGUGAGGAUGUCAUCCUCAGGGACACAGCCGUGGGGGGGGAUCAGCCGUGAUGGAGCCGGUGCCAGCCCAGCCAGGCUGAGGGAUGAGGGAGGUCUAAUAAACGUCCCUGGCAGGGUAAGCCAUGGGCAGAGCUGCGCCCCAGGACAGCCUCGACACUGCUGUUUUCACAGGGCUGAUGCCAAGCUCAGAGCUGUGUCAUCUGUCAGAGCAAUUUGUUCCCAAGCAGGAAAGGAGGAGAAGUUGUUUUCCUGAAGGAACGGGUUGGCUGUGACCACAGGAGCAGCAGGGAAUGGGAUUUAUCCUGGUGUGAUCCAGGAGAUGUUACGCAGGGCUGUGCAGGAGUAGCAGAACUCAUCCUGGCACCACGUUAGCUUGCAGAUUUUAAUCCAAAUCUUAACAGGCAUCCUGCAGAAAGCCACGGGCACGUGGCUGUUGUGAUGAGUGAGGAUAAGCUCCCUGCUUCAGGUUUUAUUGGUGUUUCCCUGUUUAAUCCUCUCUGUGUAAAACCAAGGCAGCCUCCUGGCUGGCAGCGGGAGGCUGAGGCCACUUCUCUCUCUGUGUUCAAUCCAGAGCCAGGUUCUGCAGUUCCUGGGCAUGGGAGCACAGGUAGGACCUGGCUGGGUGCUGCCAGGGUUGAUGUGGCCUCGCCAGGACCCUCAAAGAGCAGCUGGGGGGAAAAGCUCUUCCAGAUUCAGGAUUUUUACAACCCCAUUUCUCAGCUCGGCAGCACCGCUCACACCGAGCCUCUGCCACGCAACACGCCGCGAGUCCUGCCGGGCUUCACUCGCCUCUGAUCGCCUUGGGCCAGGGGAUGCUGGGGCUCUGCUCCCGCGCUGUGUUGUGCUGCCCGGGACGUGAGUCCUGCCUUCACACGGAGGUGCUGCUGACGGGGCACUGCCUGCUCGGGGGCUCUUCGGUCCCCGCGGGAGUCUCCCCCCUCAGUGUCCGCCUUUCUUGGCAAUUAUUUCUUUCUGGCUUUAAAACCAAGCUGUUUUCCUUCCCACGUUAGCCCAUGAGGCCCAAAGGAACUGCUGGAGAGCACCGUGGGUGCACAGCAAUGGUGCGGAGCAUCGGGCAGCACACAGGGAAGAUGUGCCAGAACGGGAGAGUGUCUUGCGAGUGCUGCGAGGAGGUCCCGCCAGUUGGUGCCAGGACCCACCUCAGACCCGCACAGUCCCAGGGCCACCAUCCUGCCCUCGGUGCUGGUGAAGCCCAGCAAGGAAUCAUCACCAGCCAUGCUCAGUACAAUAACUUCGGUUUCCAUCUCUGCACGGAGCAACUCCUCUUCCUCUGCUUUUGGAAAGGGAAGCACUUGCGGGUGAAUUUUCUUCAGAACUCCGUUGUUCACAGAGAGUUUAAACCUGGAUUUUAAAGCCUCAGUUUUGCAGGAUCUCUCCAGACAGGAGGAAGUUGAGGAUCCCACUAACAGCAGCAAGAGGGGGUCAUCUGCAGGUUGGCAGCUCCUGCUGUGCCUGCUGCUUCCCCUGGGCCCGUGUCUGAGCAGACUUCCCACCAGGUUACUGAACCCUGGAGUCUGCCGGCAGGGACUUCCCUGGGUGAUGCUCUGUGAGGUGCCAGCAGGGAUUUACGUGUCUCCGGCACAAGCAGCCCCUGUGGCUGAAUCAAAGCCUCUGCCCGAGCCUGGCUGUUCAUGGGCCUUGUGUGUGUGUGUACGGGGGGUGGGCAGUGACCCCUUCCCCAGGGACAGCCCCACCGAGCCCUGGUUCCUUCCCACCGCAGGUUGCUGGAGGUGUGACCCGAAAAGAGGGAGCAUGAACCCCCUGUGAACAGCACUGGUCUGCAGCAGGGAAUGAGACAAACCCAGCGAGGUCCUCCUCAUUUAAACAAACUGUAGGUGCUGUUUUCUGUUUGCCAGAAAUGCGGGCAGGGGUCUGGAGCCAGCCCUGAGUGCUCGCACAGAAGAACUGAAGCUUUAGCACCCGCCUAAAGCCAUUUCAGUUCCAGCUGACUGUGCGUUGCAGGGCAUACCUUCACUUCGGUGGCUCAGGGAUUGCAAACAGUGAGUCAUAACUCCCUGGGAUCAAAAAUGCAGCUGCUGAGGCACCAGCACUGAGAAGUGUUGUCCAAGAUAAGAGCAAAGCAAACCUCGCUGCCCACACACCCUUAUCCUUCAAGGCUGAAUAUCUUUGUCACCGUCUUCAAAAACACACACUCAGAAUUAUACAGGCUUCUUGUGGUUGCCAUUGAUACGGGAUUUGCUGCUUUUAGAGCAGACAAGAGGGGAUUGUGAAAAGCUGUGACUUGGGAGAGUUGAGGCAGAUGGAUCCGGAGCUAAUGUCUGUGCAGAGGUGGCUGGUGUUUGGGCAGGGAAUCACUGCAGGGCAUGUCCGUGUCCUGUGUCCCUCCCAGGGAAGGUCUCGGAACAGCUCUCGGGGCCUCUGCAGACAACCCCAUGUCCUUUGCAUCCCCGGAGCCUGGAGAGCACACAUGGAGCCCCUUUGGUUCUACCCGUGGAGCUUCGGGACACCUUUCAGCACUGACUCACUGCAGAGGAAGAGGCGACGUGCGAGUCACCUGUCCCAUAAAGUGUCCCACUCACAGCAGCCGCUUGGCACCAGGCUCCUGUCCCAUGACACAUCCCGGGUACAACAACAUGACCCGGCCACCUCGGCCACAGAACUCCCGGUGCAGAGCUCACGUGGCUGGUCCACCCAUGGCACAGGCUCCAUGCACAGAGGAGUGGUGGCACACGACCUGCAGAGCGCUGCAUCCGCCUGUCCCCAGCGCUUCAAAGCCACUGGUGUCAUGAGCUGAGAGGCCUUGGGCACACCAGACCUUUGCUGUGAAGGCUUCAGAGCUUGCCCAUGUUUUAGCUGGGACCAGGUUCAUCUGCAGCUCUUCACACCUAACGGGGCGCCUUAACAGCACUAAUGAACGAGGUGUCGCAGGCUCCCCUCUGCUAUGGGGCGGAUCGAGAAGUGACACAGUCCUGCAGGGGGGAAAUGAAGGUACCGAAGUGGCCAUGACCUUGCUGGUGUCACGGGAGAGCUCAGCAGCCCUGGCUCCCGGCUGGGCACGCAGCGAUGGCUUCACCAGCACACCCUGGUCACGCUGAUCUCCAGCUGCUCUGUGAGCACCAAUGAAUCCAGGCCCGCAGCCCCGUUCCCCGGUGACACGCAGGGACCUGUCACCCUGCGCAGGAGGGGAGAGCACAGGGCUGACUGCAAACCAGUCCCGAGCUGCGGCAGGGCGCUGGGUGCUGCUCGCCAGGGAUUUGUUUCCAGUGUAGCUGUACGAAGCUUUGGUGCUUUUCUCUCUAAUUAGCUCUAAAAAUACUUUUUCCCUUGGUUGCUUUCCUGAGCUCACUAAAGCCACAACUCACUGACUGGGCUCAACGCAGGAGAAUGUUCAAGUAACUGCUGGAUGAUAAAAUGAACCUGCUGCCAGGAUGCUGAGCAGAAAACAUGGGUUCUCUUGCACCUCAGUGGUUGUUAUCCCAUGGAUUGAAGUGCCAGAGAGUUUAUACAACCCCAUUUUACCUGCCUGUGCAUUGAUCCUGGGACAGGUAAUUGCCCAAUUAACCAACUCAUACCUUUAACUGUUGGAUUUUUUUUCCCUGCCCAAUGCUGUUGCUGUCACCUCACUGCAGAUCAAAGCUGCAAAUAAAAAGAUGCCAUGGAACAGG